rnacentral:lncRNA from 1 species
AGGUCCUUUUUAGAGAGAGAAAGUAGAGAGAAAAAAUAAUAUCAAGGAUCCUAUCAUCUUCUAGAGAGAGAAGGUUGGAAGAUAGAGAAGGAGAGAGAGUAGAAAAAAAAUCCUAGAGGAACUUAAGUGAGAGAGAGAAAAUUUCUUUUUUCUAUUUUCUUUCUUUUCUUUUCUUCUCUUCUUCUUCAUUUUUUCUUUCUUUGG